UGACCUCGUCUCCGAAAUGCCAGUGGCGGUCUCGCCGCAGCCUNUCNUGNGCAGUAGUUUGCACACUCGCACCGGGAGCGCGGCGCGUCCACAGCCGUUAAAACNCCCAANNUUUCUGAAAUGUUGACCUCG
rnacentral:rRNA from 1 species